GAUGAAGAACGUAGCGAAAUGCGAUAAGUAAUGUGAAUUGCAGAAUUCAGUGAAUCAUCGAAUCUUUGAACGCACAUUGCGCCCCCUGGUAUUCCGGGGGGCAUGCCUGUCCGAGCGUCAUUACAACCCUCAAGCUCAGCUUGGUAUUGGGCCCCGCCGACCCGGCGGGCCCUAAAGUCAGUGGCGGUGCCGUCCGGCUCCGAGCGUAGUAAUUCUUCUCGCUCUGGAGGUCCGGUCGUGUGCUCGCCAGCAACCCCCAAUUUUUUUCAGGUUGACCUCGGAUCAGGUAGGGAUACCCGCUGAACUUAAGCAUAUAAUAAGCGGAGGA
rnacentral:misc_RNA from 1 species